ACCUCCAUUUAGGAUUGAUGUCCACAGAGUAAUUCCUGUUUCAAGAUAGGUGACUUCUGCUGAUUCUUCCUUGAAUAGGAAUCAAGCUUCUUAAGGUCGGGGACCUUUGUGAAAUAUAGGUCAUCCUCGUUAUGGUGGUGGUUAUUACAAAAUUUGUAGCAGCAUUUUGCUUUUUUUCACGAGAAAUUGGAAAUUUUGCAGAAAUAAUAAUGAGAAGGAAUUGACAUCAUAAUCAGAUUUGGCUAAUAAUUUCUCUAAUAGAAGUAGAAAUGAUCUCCUACCCAUGGUGGAUAGGAUAAAACAUACCCAUCACUACGUGGCAACGCCACGUCAGCAAUCAGGCCUACAAUUUUUGACAAUAUAAUAUUAAAUUGUCGAAAAUUGUAGGUUUACGUUAGUGGUGAGCAAGAUAAAUCCUAUCCAUCAUAGGUAAGAGAUCAUUUCUUCUAACAGAAGUACCUCCUAUUGUCUAGGUACUGUUUGUGGCAGGAACAGAAACCGCAGCAGCUGCUAUAGAAUGGGC
rnacentral:lncRNA from 1 species